GGUUAAGCGACUAAGCGUACACGGUGGAUGCCCUGGCAGUCAGAGGCGAUGAAGGACGUGCUAAUCUGCGAUAAGCGUCGGUAAGGUGAUAUGAACCGUUAUAACCGGCGAUUUCCGAAUGGGGAAACCCAGUGUGUUUCGACACACUAUCAUUAACUGAAUCCAUAGGUUAAUGAGGCGAACCGGGGGAACUGAAACAUCUAAGUACCCCGAGGAAAAGAAAUCAACCGAGAUUCCCCCAGUAGCGGCGAGCGAACGGGGAGCAGCCCAGAGCCUGAAUCAGUGUGUGUGUUAGUGGAAGCGUCUGGAAAGGCGCGCGAUACAGGGUGACAGCCCCGUACACAAAAAUGCACAUGCUGUGAGCUCGAUGAGUAGGGCGGGACACGUGGUAUCCUGUCUGAAUAUGGGGGGACCAUCCUCCAAGGCUAAAUACUCCUGACUGACCGAUAGUGAACCAGUACCGUGAGGGAAAGGCGAAAAGAACCCCGGCGAGGGGAGUGAAAAAGAACCUGAAACCGUGUACGUACAAGCAGUGGGAGCACGCUUAGGCGUGUGACUGCGUACCUUUUGUAUAAUGGGUCAGCGACUUAUAUUCUGUAGCAAGGUUAACCGAAUAGGGGAGCCGAAGGGAAACCGAGUCUUAACUGGGCGUUAAGUUGCAGGGUAUAGACCCGAAACCCGGUGAUCUAGCCAUGGGCAGGUUGAAGGUUGGGUAACACUAACUGGAGGACCGAACCGACUAAUGUUGAAAAAUUAGCGGAUGACUUGUGGCUGGGGGUGAAAGGCCAAUCAAACCGGGAGAUAGCUGGUUCUCCCCGAAAGCUAUUUAGGUAGCGCCUCGUGAAUUCAUCUCCGGGGGUAGAGCACUGUUUCGGCAAGGGGGUCAUCCCGACUUACCAACCCGAUGCAAACUGCGAAUACCGGAGAAUGUUAUCACGGGAGACACACGGCGGGUGCUAACGUCCGUCGUGAAGAGGGAAACAACCCAGACCGCCAGCUAAGGUCCCAAAGUCAUGGUUAAGUGGGAAACGAUGUGGGAAGGCCCAGACAGCCAGGAUGUUGGCUUAGAAGCAGCCAUCAUUUAAAGAAAGCGUAAUAGCUCACUGGUCGAGUCGGCCUGCGCGGAAGAUGUAACGGGGCUAAACCAUGCACCGAAGCUGCGGCAGCGACGCUUAUGCGUUGUUGGGUAGGGGAGCGUUCUGUAAGCCUGCGAAGGUGUGCUGUGAGGCAUGCUGGAGGUAUCAGAAGUGCGAAUGCUGACAUAAGUAACGAUAAAGCGGGUGAAAAGCCCGCUCGCCGGAAGACCAAGGGUUCCUGUCCAACGUUAAUCGGGGCAGGGUGAGUCGAUCCCUAAGGCGAGGCCGAAAGGCGUAGUCGAUGGGAAACAGGUUAAUAUUCCUGUACUUGGUGUUACUGCGAAGGGGGGACGGAGAAGGCUAUGUUGGCCGGGCGACGGUUGUUCCGGUUUAAGCGUGUAGGCUGGUUUUCCAGGCAAAUCCGGAAAAUCAAGGCUGAGGCGUGAUGACGAGGCACUACGGUGCUGAAGCAACAAAUGCCCUGCUUCCAGGAAAAGCCUCUAAGCAUCAGGUAACAUCAAAUCGUACCCCAAACCGACACAGGUGGUCAGGUAGAGAAUACCAAGGCGCUUGAGAGAACUCGGGUGAAGGAACUAGGCAAAAUGGUGCCGUAACUUCGGGAGAAGGCACGCUGAUAUGUAGGUGAGGUCCCUCGCGGAUGGAGCUGAAAUCAGUCGAAGAUACCAGCUGGCUGCAACUGUUUAUUAAAAACACAGCACUGUGCAAACACGAAAGUGGACGUAUACGGUGUGACGCCUGCCCGGUGCCGGAAGGUUAAUUGAUGGGGUUAGCGCAAGCGAAGCUCUUGAUCGAAGCCCCGGUAAACGGCGGCCGUAACUAUAACGGUCCUAAGGUAGCGAAAUUCCUUGUCGGGUAAGUUCCGACCUGCACGAAUGGCGUAAUGAUGGCCAGGCUGUCUCCACCCGAGACUCAGUGAAAUUGAACUCGCUGUGAAGAUGCAGUGUACCCGCGGCAAGACGGAAAGACCCCGUGAACCUUUACUAUAGCUUGACACUGAACAUUGAGCCUUGAUGUGUAGGAUAGGUGGGAGGCUUUGAAGUGUGGACGCCAGUCUGCAUGGAGCCGACCUUGAAAUACCACCCUUUAAUGUUUGAUGUUCUAACGUUGACCCGUAAUCCGGGUUGCGGACAGUGUCUGGUGGGUAGUUUGACUGGGGCGGUCUCCUCCUAAAGAGUAACGGAGGAGCACGAAGGUUGGCUAAUCCUGGUCGGACAUCAGGAGGUUAGUGCAAUGGCAUAAGCCAGCUUGACUGCGAGCGUGACGGCGCGAGCAGGUGCGAAAGCAGGUCAUAGUGAUCCGGUGGUUCUGAAUGGAAGGGCCAUCGCUCAACGGAUAAAAGGUACUCCGGGGAUAACAGGCUGAUACCGCCCAAGAGUUCAUAUCGACGGCGGUGUUUGGCACCUCGAUGUCGGCUCAUCACAUCCUGGGGCUGAAGUAGGUCCCAAGGGUAUGGCUGUUCGCCAUUUAAAGUGGUACGCGAGCUGGGUUUAGAACGUCGUGAGACAGUUCGGUCCCUAUCUGCCGUGGGCGCUGGAGAACUGAGGGGGGCUGCUCCUAGUACGAGAGGACCGGAGUGGACGCAUCACUGGUGUUCGGGUUGUCAUGCCAAUGGCACUGCCCGGUAGCUAAAUGCGGAAGAGAUAAGUGCUGAAAGCAUCUAAGCACGAAACUUGCCCCGAGAUGAGUUCUCCCUGACCCUUUAAGGGUCCUGAAGGAACGUUGAAGACGACGACGUUGAUAGGCCGGGUGUGUAAGCGCAGCGAUGCGUUGAGCUAACCGGUACUAAUGAACCGUGAGGCUUAACCUU
rnacentral:rRNA from 1 species